rnacentral:rRNA from 1 species
CCUACGGGGGCAGCAGUGGGGGAUAUUGCACAAUGGGGGAAACCCUGAUGCAGCGACGCCGCGUGGGUGAAGAAGCGCCUCGGCGCGUAAAGCCCUGUCAGCAGGGAAGAAAAUGACGGUACCUGAAGAAGAAGCCCCGGCUAACUACGUGCCAGCAGCCGCGGUAAUACGUAGGGGGCAAGCGUUAUCCGGAUUUACUGGGUGUAAAGGGGGCGCAGACGGCGAUGCAAGCCAGGAGUGAAAGCCCGUGGCCCAACCCCGGGACUGCUCUUGGAACUGCGUGGCUAGAGGGCAGGGGGGGCAGG